GGAGAGAUGCUGGAGUGGUCGAACAGGCACGCCUGGAAAGUGUGUAAACCCCAAAAGGGUUUCGAGGGUUCGAAUCCCUCUCUCUCCG
rnacentral:tRNA from 1 species